GACCGAGCGCGCUCAGCUGCGGAGCAGGGCGCCGGGCGCCGUACUGGAGCUGGUUGAGAGGGCAGACCCAGAGGGAGGACGGGAGGGUCCCGGCGCGGAAGAGGUCUGGAAGGGGUAGAGCGGGGCCGUGGCUGGUCGCCGGCCGCCCGGAGGGCAGUCUUAGGUUCCCCGCGGCGGCGGCCGCUCCAAGACAGCAUCUGUCAACGCUCUUCCUCAGUCCUCCUCCUUUGGCCGGGCCGGGCUCCUCUGGAGGCGGCUGGGAAGACGCGGGACCCACCGUGACGAGCCCAUCAGCUGUCAGGCGAGCGGCGAGGCGACCCGAGGGCGGCGAGAGACACACAAAGAACGCGGUGAGCGGCGGCGGCGAAAGGGGGCGGCAGAUUCGGGACGGCAACUCCCGGCCGCGCCCGCUCGUGCCGCCGCCGCCGGGGCUGGGUCCGAGGCCGCGGAGACAAUGCGGCCGGGCUUCGGCCCCGCGCGCCUCAGAGUGCGGGCGCCUGCGCUCCCCUGGCCCCUAUUUGACCGUCCCUCGCCUCGCCCAGCCCCCUCCCGGCUGGCUUGGCCCCCGCCCGGGGAAGGGGCGCCCCCUCGCUCCCGCAGCCGGGAAGGAAGUCCGUUCGCGGCCGCCGAGCCCGGCAACUUGCGAGCGGGGAAAAGUUUGCGGCGCCUCCGCGGGGCGGCGCGCCGCGGCGCCGCCCGCCCCUGGCGUUCGCGGUCACAGCCGGUGACUUUCUGGACUAGUCGUCAGUCCGGGCCGCGGCGCUCCAGGCGGCGACUGCGGGGAGGGCCAGAGUCCGUCCGAGGGCGCCCGCGCCCGGGGCUGCGGCCCUGGAGAGUUGCUGCAGAAGAGAGGAAGACAACUCAGGAGGAGAUAAGUCACUCUGGACACAGGGAAGGUAUCAGUAAGAUGGUGCUGGGCAACAGCAAGCGUGGCUUCAAUUCAGGUAAUAGUAAUUGUCAUGAUAACUACUAAUCAUCACUAAAGAUUCUCUGUGUUCUGGAAGCCACACUAGGGGCCAAAAUUAAAUACAUGGUGUCUUUAUUAUGCACCAGGCACUAUUUUAAACACUUUGCUUGUAUUAGCUGAUUUACCUCACAAAUAAUAGGCAGGCAUAUUGUUUUUCAAAUGAGGACUCUGAAGUGACAGAAAUUAAGAAAAGUACCCAAAGUUGCACUAACAAGCCUUAGAGCUGAGAUCCCAACCUGGGGCUUAGGUGCCGGAGAUCUGCUUCUACAUAUUACAUGAUAGGCACAAGUACCUUCUAGGUUAGAUAGGUCAGUUUUUCCAGGGGAGGAAACUGAAGUUGAUUGUUGAGGAGAUGUGGGGUUGUUUAUAAAUUUCCAGUUCUCUCCUUCUGACACAUGAGAAGUGUGCACUUUUCCAUAUCUUCUGAGUUUAGGGGUGACUUUCUUUGGUCAAUGAAAUGGGAACAGAAGCACUGGGGAACCAUCAAGGGCCUCUAUACAAUUUGCCAUGUUUCUUUCUCCUGUGUUGGUGAAAUGCUUGUCAAAAUGGAGUCUUUGUUAUGUGGAUCCUUGAGUGACUAUGCUAGACAGUGGCCCUCUGCUGGACCAGCAUUGGACAUAAAAAGGAAAUUUUUAUUUCUUCUGGUAAACUCCUGAGAUUCAGGUUGAGGAUUGAGGAGGAGAUUAUUUGUAACCAUAACCUGAUCUAGCCGAAACUUAAUAAUUUGCCUAAAUAACUUGCUCAAACUCCUAUAGUUUAUUUGUGCUAGAUAUAUGUCUUGAAUCCAGGACUCUCUGACACAAUAGGUCAUUUUUUUUUUCAUUUAUUAUCUCUCUUGAUAUUGCAUGACCUGCAGGAAACUAAACUUAGUUUCUUUUUUGCCUUUUAGUUUUAUGAUAGUAAUGAAAGUGCUUAAAAAGUAUAAUCUGAUAUUUACGGUUAAUCUAAGAUUGAUAGUAUGUAGAAGAAAAGUUCCUCUCAUUCUUUGGUCCAUGUAUUUGGUCUGGAAUUUAAUAUCAUGAUCUGAUGGCCUCUUUUCUGCGUUCCUUAAUUCUGAGAUUCACACUGUGGCAACAGACUGUUAACAAUAAUGGUAGGUAAAGAAAGCUAAUUUGUCCUGAGUCUUACUCAAAUUCCUGACAGUGCUUAUAGUUUUUAUAGUGCAAGUUGGUACAUGCCUUCACCUUUUUUUAGGUUAACUGUCCCUAAGAUACUAUGACUCUAUAAAGUCACCCCAACAUCCAGGUAUACAUUGCUUUAUCUGUUUAUGGAAUCACUAAACUGUCCAGGUUCUCAUGAUUAAAUUCAGAGUUGUGGAGAUUUCCAAAUCCACCUGCUGAGUACACUAAACAACUUAGCUGUGUAGCACUGACUACCAUGGCAAUGAACAUGAGAGAUUCUGAAGCUCUUUCCUGAGGAUUAUGCUCCUGCAACCUAAGUAAACAGAAGAUCCUAAGGACCCUACCUUUUGCAUUUUUUGGAUUAUUAGAAUGACUAAAGCCAUGCCAGUAGUAGGUGUUCAUGCAGGAUGAAAAAGACAAAGAGGAAGCUUUCUUCCCUAAACUAGGAAUUACCUUUUUAGAGACUUGUGGUUUUCUCUAUUGCUUGCUGCAAAUUACCAUUAGGCCACUUUAACUCUGUAAGGUUACUUUAUUCAUUUAAUCACAAAAUUCCUAUCCCUUCAUUCAAUAGCUUUUUUGAACUAUUUUAAGUUUGUUUCUAAUCCUGCCUCAAUAUAGAAAUGAUUAGAGGUAAUUGCUGUGCCUGUGUUUCACUCAGUGAAUAGCUGUUGAAUGAUACUGAGCUAACUCAUAGAAUGAUCUAUGUGAUGGAUAGAUUGUAUAGCUGUUUUCUAACUCUUUAUUUUGAAAUAACUAUAGAUUUUUAGGAAGCUGCAAAAAUAAUAUGAGGGAGUGAGCCUAUAUACUUUUCACCCAAUUUCCCUCAAUAGUUACAUCUUACAAAGUUAUGGUACCCUAUCAAGGCUAGAAAACAAUGUAUAUGUUCUCUACCAUUUUAUUACACAUAGAGAUUCAUGUCACCACCAGCACAAUUAACACACAGACUAUUCCAUCACUACAAAGAUCUCACUCUUUCCUCCUCCUCCCCUAAUUCCUGACAACCACUAAUCUGUUCAUCCUUAUAAUUUUGUCAUUUCCAAAACAUUCUAUAAAGUAUUAUUUUUUAAAGACAUGGAUAUCUUUAAAGUUAUUUCUCAUGUGUUAAUUAAAGCAUUCAAAACCUGGAAGAUCUCAAACAUAUCAAGAUUUUCAUUCAUAGGAAACAAUGAUGGUUAUCAUACAAAUUUGUUUUGGGAUACCAUUUUCAAUCAUUUUUUGUGUAAUCUACAUAUAUAUUAAUUUUUAAUUAUUUUAGAGGGUAAAGACUUUCUUGAUAACUUGAACAGCAUUUUCUGUUGAUAAUAGCAACUGGCAAAUAAAGGCUGGAUGAAAUGACAUGGCUGGUCAAAGUGUGGCUCUUCCAGUCUGCUCUGGGUUUGGUCUAAGACCUCUUUAAUUAUGAAAGGAACACGAGAAGCACGAACCAGAAAACAAUGAAAUCGUUUGUCUACAAGAGGUUGGGGAAAUUGAGUAGAAGGAACACAGGAAGCAGUGAUGCAUUUCUGGUCAUGACUUUUGUAUUGUUUGACCUCUGAUAUGUAGUAUUCUACAUAUUCAAAAAUAAAAUUGAAGCAGUAAGAAUACAAAGAAAGUGCUACAACUGAAAGCAAGCUGAAACAUGUGAAACUAAUUUGAUUUCAAAUGAAUACUACAGCCACACUUAAGGAAAGAAGGGAGACAGGGAGAGAGGGUUGGGAAGGACCAACCAAUCUAAAUAAUUUAUAAACACGCUCAGUCUUGGGGUAGAUAGGGAGGGAGACUGCAAACAAAUCCCAAACUCUUCUUCUUACAUUGUUUAUUAUAAUGUCACAGGCAAAGCAAUUUUGAAACUUUUUUAGAUGCACUAAAGUGUUUAGAUGUACAAAUGAAUAAAUGUGUGGACGUUGUUGGAAA